UCCCGUCUUUGAACACGGACCAAGGAGUCGUCUUCGUAUGCGAGUGUUCGGGUGUCAAACCCCUACGCGUAAUGAAAGUGAACGUAGGAGAGAGCUUCGGCGCAUCUCCGACCGAUCCUGAUGUUCUCGGAUGGAUUUGAGUAAGAGCAUACGGGGCCGGACCCGAAAGAAGGUGAACUAUGCCUGUAUAGGGUGAAGCCAGAGGAAACUCUGGUGGAGGCUCGCAGCGGUUCUGACGUGCAAAUCGAUCGUCAAAUAUGGGCAUGGGGGCGAAAGACUAAUCGAACCUUCUAGUAGCUGGUUUCCGCCGAAGUUUCCCUCAGGAUAGCAGUAUUGAACUCAGUUUUAUGAGGUAAAGCGAAUGAUUAGGGACCCGGGGGCUAUAUAUUGCCUUCAUCCAUUCUCAAACUUUAAAUAUGUAAGAAGCUCUUGUUGCUUAAUUGAACGUGAGCAUUCGAAUGUAUCAAUACUAGUGGGCCAUUUUUGGUAAGCAGAACUGGCGAUGCGGGAUGAACCGAACGCGAGGUUAAGGUGCCAGAGUAGACGCUCAUCAGACACCACAAAAGGUGUUAGUACAU
rnacentral:rRNA from 1 species